UGGGGAAUUUUGGACAAUGGGCGAAAGCCUGAUCCAGCAAUGCCGCGUGUGUGAAGAAGGCCUUCGGGUUGUAAAGCACUUUUGUCCGGAAAGAAAUCCUUGGCUCUAAUACAGUCGGGGGAUGACGGUACCGGAAGAAUAAGCACCGGCUAACUACGUGCCAGCAGCCGCGGUAAUACGUAGGGUGCAAGCGUUAAUCGGAAUUACUGGGCGUAAAGCGUGCGCAGGCGGUUUGCUAAGACCGAUGUGAAAUCCCCGGGCUCAACCUGGGAACUGCAUUGGUGACUGGCAGGCUAGAGUAUGGCGGAGGGGGGUAGAAUUCCACGUGUAGCAGUGAAAUGCGUAGAGAUGUGGAGGAAUACCGAUGGCGAAGGCAGCCCCCUGGGCCAAAUACUGACGCUCAUGCACGAAAAGCGUGGGGGAGCAAAACAGGAUUAGAUACCCUGGUAGUCCACGCCCUAAACGAUGUCAACUAGUUGUUGGGGGAUUCAUUUCCUUAGUAACGUAGCUAACGCGUGAAGUUGACCGCCUGGGGAGUACGGUCGCAAGAUUAAAACUCAAAGGAAUUGACGGGGUCAUAGCUGUUUCCU
rnacentral:rRNA from 1 species